rnacentral:rRNA from 1 species
AUGGAUCCACUGCAAAAGUCUAAGGCUUUGUGCCUGAAGCGCAAGCCCGAUGAUGAUUGCUUGGCGAAAAACAGCAAGUCCCAUCAUACUGAAAUUGAUAAUGUAUCUUCUAUGGUGCACAGCGGAUCCUCAUCGGAUUUACCUGCUCACAGUUGUCACAGCCAACCUAAUCUUGCUAAUGAUUGUGUUAAUUACCUGAAAAGUGGGGCGCCAAGUCGUGUCGUGUUUUACAAACAAGGUUCAUGGUGUGACUUUCCUGACAAAAUAGUCACAUCCAUUGUUGAUGCAUUCGGAGGUGACAAAUCUAGUAUCGUUGUUGUGAUGGAUGACCAGCCUCUACUUAUUGAUUUCUUAUCAAUGACCUUGGUGAACCUAAAAACGAGGAAACAGCGAUCUGUUGCAUGGCUUGAUGGGACUAACAACUGGUCUUUUCCGUCUUCAUUCUUUGAUGAGGAAGUUGAAGAAUCCGCAAAGUUGAAAAGAAAUGUUGUUGAAGGUGCUGCACUAGGUUCCUGUUAG